rnacentral:lncRNA from 1 species
AAAAUUUUCAACAUUAAACUAGAAUUGGAAAAAAUAACAUAACAAAGAAGCAAUACUCUGUUCAAAUUUUAAACUAAAUGGCACUACUAAGGUCAACAUGGACUUGUUGUUUUGUAAUGACCUUGGUGCCAAAAGCAAGGAUAAACCAAAAGGGAUGGUGACUCACAAAGUGGUGUGAAAUUCUACCCAAAAUUGUUGCCAUCCAUCCCUUAAUACUACGACUGAAAAUGUAAAUAAAAACGAAAUGUAAAACAGCUAAAUCCUACCAUUCACCAUGGCCUUACUUUAUUCUGAAUCAUUAUCCUCCUCUUCUUCAUCUUUGUCGUUCUCCUCCUCCUCCUCAAAUUCCUCUAUACCUAUCGGUGGAUCAUAUGGUAUGCCAAAAUAUUUCUCCACUGCUCGAACACAAUAAUCCAACUUUUGGUUGAUAUCUGAUUGGUGGCACAAAAGUUUUUAAUGUAGCUCUCUAUCUUGGCCUUCUAGGACUUCUUUUUAUUGGGUGGUGGUGCUGUGGAAGUUUAUGGAAUAUCAACUUG